GUGAGGAAUAUUGCGCAAUGGAGGCAACUCUGACGCAGCCAUGCCGCGUGCAGGAAGAAGGCGCUACGCGUUGUAAACUGCUUUUAACCGGGAAGAAACCCCAGGACGUGUCCUGGGUUGACGGUACCGGAGGAAUAAGCACCGGCUAACUUCGUGCCAGCAGCCGCGGUAAUACGAAGGGUGCAAGCGUUAUCCGGAUUCAUUGGGUUUAAAGGGUGCGUAGGCGGAGCGUUAAGUCAGUGGUGAAAUCCUGCAGCUUAACUGUAGACGUGCCAUUGAUACUGGCGCUCUUGAGUGCGCUUGAAGUGGGAGUAAUGUGCCGUGUAGCGGUGAAAUGCUUAGAUAUGGCACAGAACACCAAUUGCGAAGGCAGCUCACUAAGGCGAUACUGACGCUGAGGCACGAAAGCGUGGGGAUCGAACAGGAUUAGAAACCCGGGUAGUCC
rnacentral:rRNA from 1 species